rnacentral:rRNA from 1 species
GAGCUUGCUCUCAUGAAAGUGGCGCACGGGUGAGUAACACGUGGAUAAUCUGCCUGGCGAUUCGGGAUAACACUUCGAAAGGGGUGCUAAUACCGGAUAAGCCCACAGUCUCCUCGGAGGGUGCGGGAAAAGGGGGCCUCUGUAUAUGCUCCUGUCGCUAGAUGAGUCCGCGGCCCAUUAGCUAGUUGGUAGGGUAAUGGCCUACCAAGGCGACGAUGGGUAGCUGGUCUGAGAGGAUGAUCAGCCACACUGGAACUGAGACACGGUCCAGACUCCUACGGGAGGCAGCAGUGGGGAAUUUUGCGCAAUGGGCGAAAGCCUGACGCAGCAACGCCGCGUGAGUGAUGAAGGCCUUCGGGUCGUAAACUGCUUUUACCAGAACCGCCGGGUGGUUAAUACCUGCCUUGUCUGACGGUACCCACAAAGGAAGCACCGGCUAACUCUGUGCCAGCAGCCGCGGUAAUACAGAGGGUGCAAGCGUUGUUCGGAAUUAUUGGGCGUAAAGCGCGUGUAGGCGGCCUUGCAAGUCGGGUGUGAAAGCCCGGGGCUCAACCUGGGAAGUGCGCCCGAAACUGCAGGGCUUGAGUACCGGAGAGGAUGGCGGCAUUCCCCAAGUAGAGCUGAAAUUCGUAGAUAUGGGGAGGAAUACCGGUGGCGAAGGCGACCAUCUGGACGGAUACUGACGCUGAGACGCGAAAGCGUGGGUAGCAAACAGGAUUAGAUACCCUGGUAGUCCACGCCGUAAACGAUGGGAACUAGGUGUCGCGGGUUUUGACCCCUGCCGUGCCGCAGCUAACGCAUUAAGUUCCCCGCCUGGGAAGUACGGCCGCAAGGCUAAGACUCAAAGGAAUUGACGGGGGCCCGCACAAGCGGUGGAGCAUGUGGUUUAAUUCGACGCAACGCGCAGAACCUUACCCGGUCUUGACAUCCUAGGAAUCCUCCAGAGAUGGAGGGGUGCCCUUCGGGGAGCCUAGAGACAGGUGCUGCAUGGCUGUCGCCAGCUCGUGUCGUGAGAUGUUGGGUUAAGUCCCGCAACGAGCGCAACCCUCGCCCUUAGUUGCUUCGCAAGAAGAUCUCUAGAGGGACUGCCGGUGUUAAACCGGAGGAAGGUGGGGAUGACGUCAAGUCCUCAUGGCCUUUAUGACCAGGGCUACACACGUGCUACAAUGGCCGGUACAAAGCGCUGCCAACCCGCGAGGGGGAGCCAAUCGCAUAAAACCGAUCUCAGUUCAGAUUGGAGUCUGCAACUCGACUCCAUGAAGGCGGAAUCGCUAGUAAUCGAAGAUCAGCACGCUUCGGUGAAUACGUUCCCGGGCCUUGUACACACCGCCCGUCACACCAUGGGAGUCAAUUGCCCCAGAAGUCGCCGUGCCAACCGCAAGGAGGCAGGCGCCCAAGGAGUGAUUGGUAACUGGGGGGAAGUCGUAACAAGGUAAC